rnacentral:rRNA from 1 species
AUUGAACGCUGGCGGCAGGCCUAACACAUGCAAGUCGAGCGAGCGGCGGACGGGUGAGUAAUGUAUGGGGACUGCCCGUUAGAGGGGGAUAACUACUGGAAACGGUAGCUAAUACCGCAUACUAUCGGAUAACCCAUAUGGGAUUAGCUAGUAGGUGAGGUAAUGGCUCACCUAGGCGACGAUCCCUAGCUGGUCUGAGAGGCUGAUCAGACACACGGGAAGUGAUACACGGCCGAGACUCCUACGGAGUCAGCAGUGGCGUAUAUUGCACAAGUGGCGCGAGCCUGAUGCAGCCAUGCCGCGUGUAUGAAGCAGGCCCUAGGGUUGGAAAGUACGGUCAGGCGGGAGGCGUUACCGACAGAAGAAGCACCGGCUAACUCCGUGCAAGCAGCCGCGGUAAUAC